GAACCUAUAGGAUAUAUGAAAAGGGAUUUAUUAGGGAGAAUUGGCUCACAUGAUUACAGAGGUGAGAAAGUCCCUUGAUGGGCCAUCAGCAAGCUGGAGAACCAGAAAUGCUGGUAGCAUGGCUCAGGACAAGUCUAGAAGCCUCAGAACCAGGGAAGCCCAUGAUGCAGCCCCAGUUCGAGGCCAAAGGCCAGACAGUCCCCUGGAGGAUGCUGGUGCAAGUCCCAGAGUCUAAAAGCCAAAGAAUCUGGAGUCUGAUGUCCAGGGGCUGGAAGAGGAAAGAGAGCUCAUUAGGUUUAAAGUCAUGAGGAUGGAGCCCCCAUAAUGGGAUUGGUGCCUUUAUAAGAAGAGGAAGAGACCAGAGCUCACUGUCUUUCUGCCAUGUAAGGAUACAUCAAGAAUGCAGCCCUGAAAUGAGGGUGCUGUAGCUGGGUUGGCAACCUCAGUUUUCUUGGGAUAAGAAAGCAGUUCCCACAGUGAAAAGGUGUCUUUUUAACCCCUGGAAGGUAUAAAUUAAAUACAUAAAUAAUGAAGUCAAUUAAUAGUAAUACAUUUAUGUUAAACUUAGGAAUGAUCUGUAUAUACUUGAUAUUUGUAGGUUUUGUGAUGUGUAAGAGAAUUUGGCAUAUCUGAGAUUACACUGUAAAUAUGUAAUUAAGUAACUGAUUUUUGACUUGUGAUUUUGC
rnacentral:lncRNA from 1 species